rnacentral:tRNA from 3 species
UGCCCGGUCGUCUAAUGGCAGGACAGCUGGUUUUGGUCCAGUCAGUGGGGGUUCGAGUCCUCCCCGGGCAA